GGGAGGAUGCCGGAGUGGUUAACGGGCUGGACUUGAAAUCCAGUAGGCUUUGCCUGCGCAGGUUCGAUCCCUGCUCCUUCCG